GCCGGGCACGGUGGCACGUGCCUGUAGUCCCAGCUAUUUGGGAGGCUGAGGCUGGAGGAUCUCUUGAGUCCAGGAGUUCUCGGCUGUAAUGCGCUAUGCCGAUUGGGUGUCCGCACUAAGUUCGGCAUCAAUAUGGUGACCUCCCGGAAGCGGGGGACCACCAGCUGGCCUAAGGAGGGGUGAACCAGCCCAGGUCAGAAACAGAGCAGGUCAAAACUCCCGUGCUGAUCAGUAGUGGGAUAACGGCUGUGAACAGCCACUGCACUACAGCCUGGGCAACACAGCCAGACCCCGUCUCU
rnacentral:SRP_RNA from 1 species